rnacentral:rRNA from 1 species
AUUGAACGCUGGCGGCAUGCCUUACACAUGCAAGUCGAACGGCAGCACGGGUGCUUGCCCCUGGUGGCGAGUGGCGAACGGGUGAGUAAUACAUCGGAACAUGUCCUGUAGUGGGGGAUAGCCCGGCGAAAGCCGGAUUAAUACCGCAUACGAUCUACGGAUGAAAGCGGGGGACCUUCGGGCCUCGCGCUAUCGGGUUGGCCGAUGGCUGAUUAGCUAGUUGGUGGGGUAAAGGCCUACCAAGGCGACGAUCAGUAGCUGGUCUGAGAGGACGACCAGCCACACUGGGACUGAGACACGGCCCAGACUCCUACGGGAGGCAGCAGUGGGGAAGUUUGGACAAUGGGCGAAAGCCUGAUCCAGCAAUGCCGCGUGUGUGAAGAAGGCCUUCGGGUUGUAAAGCACUUUUGUCCGGAAAGAAAUCCUUGGCCCUAAUACGGUCGGGGGAUGACGGUACCGGAAGAAUAAGCACCGGCUAACUACGUG